GGGAGCACGUGAAAACAUCAACAAUGGCAAGAUUUCUGCUUUGAUGGGGGGUGUGGCGGUUAUUUUGUCCGCCAUGUCUUGUUGUUGGGGCCAUGCCUUCACACUGCCUUUGAGAUCCAACACAGGUCCCUUACCCCUCUUCACCCUUUAAAUGGCAGAAGUAGAACAGUUGUUGGAUCCUCACAUGCUACCAUGGAUGGAGAGCAACCACUUACUUGCUUGAGCUGCAAUGCACCAUUGUCUUUGCCAAAUAUAUCCCCUUCACUCUUGUACAACCUGUGUCUUCAUUGCCUACAUAAUUCGCAGCCCGGACAACUUUACUUGAGUGAACCACCACCACCAAUGGAAGCGGCGGCUGCCGUAAAUUAUGUCAAUGUAUCACCGCUUCCAUGGCUCAGAGGUGAGAAUGCUAAUUUCAUGCCCACCUAUAUCAAUAGCGUGAGCACUACAGUGAUGCCGGUAGUGCAGAGAACAGCUGGAACUGGUGUAUGGAUCCUUGCCCAUGCAGCUAAUGUACUGCAGCGAGAAAAUUUGAUUGGGAGGGUAGACAACACUAUUGAUCUAACCCUAAGCUUGCAGGGCACAGGUGGAACUGGUGCACGGUUCCAUGCCGAUGUAGCUAAUGAAGUGCAGAGAGAAGUUUUCCUGCCAACAGUUAUGAUGGGGAGGGAAGAUAACCCUAUUGAUCUAACACUAAGGUUGGCUACUGCUGCAGAAGAAGCUAAUCACUAAGAAAGACAAGAUCGUGUUGCUGAUCCAAUGGAUGAUUCUGAUGAUAAUUUCUUGAGUGACGAUCGUGUCACUGAUGAGGUUGAUUUCCUGUCUCGUUUUGGUUCAUCUGGGCCAGCAGAUCAGCCAAAUGAGUGAAUCAGUGGAGUUUUUUGAAAUUGGGAAGAAAUAACGUAUGCUUAUGAGUGUCAUUCAUACCUGUUUUUAUUUUCUAGUUAAUGUUUUCUUUUCAUGUUGUUUUGCGCCUAUUGGACACUUCAGAUUCAUGCACAUUGUGUUGCAUAAUUGUGGAGAAUGAGAAUAGACAUCU